UGGGGAAUAUUGCACAAUGGGCGCAAGCCUGAUGCAGCAACGCCGCGUGAACGAUGAAGGUCUUCGGAUCGUAAAGUUCUGUUGCAGGGGAAGAUAAUGACGGUACCCUGUGAGGAAGCCCCGGCUAACUACGUGCCAGCAGCCGCGGUAAUACGUAGGGGGCUAGCGUUAUCCGGAUUUACUGGGCGUAAAGGGUGCGUAGGUGGUCUUUCAAGUCGGUGGUUAAAGGCUACGGCUCAACCGUAGUUAGCCUCCGAAACUGGAAGACUUGAGUGCAGGAGAGGAAAGUGGAAUUCCCAGUGUAGCGGUGAAAUGCGUAGAUAUUGGGAGGAACACCAGUAGCGAAGGCGGCUUUCUGGACUGCAACUGACAUUGAGGCACGAAAGCGUGGGUAGCAAACAGG
rnacentral:rRNA from 1 species